rnacentral:rRNA from 1 species
GUCUUUUUGUAUUUAAUUUAAAGUCUAACCUGCCCACUGAAAGUUUUGAAUGGCCGCAGUAUUCUAACUGUGCAAAGGUAGCAUAAUCAUUAGUCUUUUAAUUGAAGGCUGGAAUGAAUGGUUGGACGAGAUAUUAACUGUUUCAUUUAAAUUUUUUGUAAAAUUUUAUUUUUUAGUCAAAAAGCUAAAAUAAAUUUAAAAGACGAGAAGACCCUAUAAAUCUUUAUAUUUUAUUUAUUUUAAUUAUAAAGAUUAUUUUUGUUAUUAUAAAUUAAAGUAUUUUAUUGGGGUGAUAUUAAAAUUUAAAAAACUUUUAAUUUUUAAAAUCAUUAAUUUAUGAAUAAUUGAUCCAUUAAUAAUGAUUAAAAAAUUAAGUUACUUUAGGGAUAACAGCGUAAUUUUUUUGGAGAGUUCAUAUCGAUAAAAAAGAUUGCGACCUCGAUGUUGGAUUAAGAUAUAAUUUUGGGUGUAGCUGUUCAAAUUUUAAGUCUGUUCGACUUUUAAAUUCUU